rnacentral:rRNA from 1 species
AUGGUGGUAACGGGUAACGGGGUGUUAGGGCACGACACCGGAGAGGGAGCCUGAGAAACGGCUACCACAUCCAAGGAUGGCAGCAGGCGCGCAAAUUACCCAAUCCCGACACGGGGAGGUAGUGACAAUAAAUAACAAUACGGGGUUCUUUCGGAUCUCGUAAUUGGAAUGAGUACAAUUUAAAUCUCUUAACGAGGAACAAUUGGAGGGCAAGUCUGGUGCCAGCAGCCGCGGUAAUUCCAGCUCCAAUAGCGUAUAUUAAAGUUGUUGCAGUUAAAAAGCUCGUAGUUGAAUUUCGGGAUCAAUAUGUUGGUCGUGCCUUGGUACGUACUGGCAUUAUUGGUUUCUACCUUCUGAAGAACCUCGAUGUCAUUAAUUUGGUGUCUUGGGGAAUCAGGACUGUUACUUUGAAAAAAUUAGAGUGUCUAAAGCAGGCUCGCGCUUGAAUACAUUAGCAUGGAAUAAUGAAAUAGGACGUUUGAUUCUAUUUUGUUGGUUUCUAGGAUCGACGUAAUGAUUAAUAGGGAUAGUUGGGGGCAUUAGUAUUCAAUUGUCAGAGGUGAAAUUCUUGGAUUUAUUGAAGACUAACUACUGCGAAAGCAUUUGCCAAGGAUGUUUUCAUUAAUCAAGAACGAAAGUUAGGGGAUCGAAGACGAUCAGAUACCGUCGUAGUCUUAACCAUAAACUAUGCCGA